rnacentral:rRNA from 1 species
UACGUAGGGGGCAAGCGUUGUCCGGAAUCAUUGGGCGUAAAGAGCGUGUAGGCGGCUUUACAGGUCCGUUGUGAAAACUCGAGGCUCAACCUCGAGACGCCGGUGGAAACCGUAAAGCUAGAGUCCGGAAGAGGAGAGUGGAAUUCCUGGUGUAGCGGUGAAAUGCGCAGAUAUCAGGAGGAACACCCGUGGCGAAAGCGGCUCUCUGGGACGGUACUGACGCUGAGACGCGAAAGCGUGGGGAGCAAACAGG